UGUUCAGAUUCUGGAAUUACACGAGACGCUUGCUUUGCGAUAAAUGCAAUGCUUCGCGUCCAUUUAUGUGUUGCCGCUGAUCCUACCACAUUGAAACUUGAGGUCAUUGAGUUGGAGGGCAUGUCCCCCUACCCUAAAUGUGUUACCUGUAAACUCCAUUUCGCGCAUAGUCGUGCCCAAAGUGACCCAAAGCAACGGCAGUCAGAUUGAAUUUUCUCAUGUCUGAUUAUCAUUUUAAAAACACACUUGUUUCUCGGUUCCAGUAUUUGUAAUUAAAUCUACAAACUGCUAAAGCCGUGACAAGGAUACAUGCCAUUGCGUGUAGUUUUAACCAAGAUGUGGUCAUAAGCCAUAAAGUGGACACAAGCCAUAUCAUUGUUUUUUUAUCGGAUUAAAAUCCCAACAUCCGUUUGGUCUGGAGGGGGUGCGCCCGUAGAUGCGCCUAGAAGUGGUGGAGGCCCGAAAAAGAAAGAUUGGCGGCUAGGGAAAAGGAAUUUUUAAUGGCGAUCGAAUUGCUGUAGUUGCGAAGCUCCGUGCCCUGAAAACGUUGAUGAUGAUGCUACAUUCAGCCUCAUGGAAUGGGACUCUUUGUAUCCGAAAAGGAUUUUUGAAUUGCGUUCGUGUUUGGUUUUCUGUACAUGCGGAGCUCCACGCCAUGACCCUGUCAAUGCAAUUGAUGAUGCUACAUCAGUCACCCUGAUUGAUGUGCUUGUUCACAUCCGAAUGCCUUACUUGUAAAUGCCCUUCCCAAAAUUUUCCCCAUGGUGUGGACAUGAGCCAUAACGUAGAAACAAGUCACAUCGUGGGUGUAAGUAAAGGCGUGGAUACAAGUCACUGCGUGGGUUUAAACUGCAGUGUAGGCAUAA